UACCGAGGGUGCUAGCGUUGUUCGGAAUCAUUGGGCGUAAAGGGCGCGUAGGCGGCCUGAUAAGUAGGGGGUGAAAUCCUGUGGCUCAACUGCAGGGCUGCCUCCUAGACUGUCGGGCUUGAGCACGGUAGAGGCAGAUGGAAUUCCCGGUGUAGCGGUGGAAUGCGUAGAGAUCGGCAGGAACACCCAGGGGGAAACCAGUGGACUGGCACGGUGCUGACGCUCAGGUGCGAAAGCGUGGGGAGCGAACCGG
rnacentral:rRNA from 1 species